AGUUCCGUGGUGUAGUGGCCAAUCAUAUGGGCCUUUGGACGUGUUCAGUUCGAUCUGGCGCGAAGGAAAGCCCAUGACGGCGGUUCGAAUCCGCCCGGAACUA
rfam:Halolamina sp. CBA1230 CBA1230_contig03, whole genome shotgun sequence.